rnacentral:lncRNA from 1 species
UUGUACCUAUCCUACCCUGUUCAGAGUAUGUGAGGAUUGAUUUCAUCUCUACGUUUCUAUCUAAGUUUGGGGUUGCUGUUGGAAUAGCAACCUUUAAGUUUGGGGUCGCUUUGCAGUACGUGAAUAGUAAGUGAAUGUCGUAUAUAUAUAAAAAUAAAAAAAAAUAAAAAACAAAAAGAGAAAAACAACAACAACAUGAAAAGAAAGAAAGAGAAAAGCGAAAAACAAUAAAAGAACAGCUUUUGAAAAAUGCUACAUUCACU